rnacentral:lncRNA from 1 species
UCUUAACAAGAGAGGAUAUCACAAACACGUAAAUGCAAAACAUUAACGAAAACUGUAAACAAUAAUCAAAUAGGAUCAAACACGCGCCUACUUUUUACCCAUCCUCACACGUCCUAGUAAACUCUCACAAUCCUAUACCUUAAAGUUACGAAAGAUCUUAAACCUAAUCUCUGAUACCAUUUCUCUGUCACGCCCCGAACCCGAGGUGUAACAGACGCCGCAUAUCUGCUAAACUAACAAAU